rnacentral:lncRNA from 1 species
GGUUCAUUCCAAAUAUAAUAACCACUAACAACUCCUAAUGCAGUAACCACAAUAGCAUUAACACGUGUUUGGUGGAUUACCAUUACUAAUUACUGACCUAAGAAGUUUAUUGUUACUAUUACAAUAUUAAAUAUCUUUGUUAAAAUUAUAAAAAGCGGAAGAUAACCUUUGUUAAACGAAAAUACACGUAACGAUCAUAGGCGACGAAUAGGCGGAAAUAUGGUAUUGCUUGCAUAAGAAUCCGCUAUUCGGAGACUAUACCUGAACGUUUAUCUGAG